AGAGUUUGAUCCUGGCUCAGGACGAACGCUGGCGGCGUGCCUAAUACAUGCAAGUCGAACGAACUCUGGUAUUGAUUGGUGCUUGCAUCAUGAUUUACAUUUGAGUGAGUGGCGAACUGGUGAGUAACACGUGGGAAACCUGCCCAGAAGCGGGGGAUAACACCUGGAAACAGAUGCUAAUACCGCAUAACACCUUGGACCGCAUGGUCCGAGUUUGAAAGAUGGCUUCGGCUAUCACUUUUGGAUGGUCCCGCGGCGUAUUAGCUAGAUGGUGGGGUAACGGCUCACCAUGGCAAUGAUACGUAGCCGACCUGAGAGGGUAAUCGGCCACAUUGGGACUGAGACACGGCCCAAACUCCUACGGGAGGCAGCAGUAGGGAAUCUUCCACAAUGGACGAAAGUCUGAUGGAGCAACGCCGCGUGAGUGAAGAACGGUUUCGGCUCGUAAAACUCUGUUGUUAAAGAAGAACAUAUCUGAGAGUAACUGUUCAGGUAUUGACGGUAUUUAACCAGAAAGCCACGGCUAACUACGUGCCAGCAGCCGCGGUAAUACGUAGGUGGCAAGCGUUGUCCGGAUUUAUUGGGCGUAAAGCGAGCGCAGGCGGUUUUUUAAGUCUGAUGUGAAAGCCUUCGGCUCAACCGAAGAAGUGCAUCGGAAACUGGGAAACUUGAGUGCAGAAGAGGACAGUGGAACUCCAUGUGUAGCGGUGAAAUGCGUAGAUAUAUGGAAGAACACCAGUGGCGAAGGCGGCUGUCUGGUCUGUAACUGACGCUGAGGCUCGAAAGUAUGGGUAGCAAACAGGAUUAGAUACCCUGGUAGUCCAUACCGUAAACGAUGAAUGCUAAGUGUUGGAGGGUUUCCGCCCUUCAGUGCUGCAGCUAACGCAUUAAGCAUUCCGCCUGGGGAGUACGGCCGCAAGGCUGAAACUCAAAGGAAUUGACGGGGGCCCGCACAAGCGGUGGAGCAUGUGGUUUAAUUCGAAGCUACGCGAAGAACCUUACCAGGUCUUGACAUACUAUGCAAAUCUAAGAGAUUAGACGUUCCCUUCGGGGACAUGGAUACAGGUGGUGCAUGGUUGUCGUCAGCUCGUGUCGUGAGAUGUUGGGUUAAGUCCCGCAACGAGCGCAACCCUUAUUAUCAGUUGCCAGCAUUAAGUUGGGCACUCUGGUGAGACUGCCGGUGACAAACCGGAGGAAGGUGGGGAUGACGUCAAAUCAUCAUGCCCCUUAUGACCUGGGCUACACACGUGCUACAAUGGAUGGUACAACGAGUUGCGAACUCGCGAGAGUAAGCUAAUCUCUUAAAGCCAUUCUCAGUUCGGAUUGUAGGCUGCAACUCGCCUACAUGAAGUCGGA
rnacentral:rRNA from 1 species